CCCUACGGGGGGCAGCAGUGAGGAAUAUUGGUCAAUGGGCGCGAGCCUGAACCGGCCAAGUAGCGUGAAGGAUGACGGCCCUAUGGGUUGUAAACUUCUUUUAUAUGGGAAUAAAGUUUGGUAUGCAUACCAUUUUGUAUGUACCAUAUGAAUAAGGAUCGGCUAACUCCGUGCCAGCAGCCGCGGUAAUACGGAGGAUCCGAGCGUUAUCCGGAUUUAUUGGGUUUAAAGGGAGCGUAGGUGGAUUGUUAAGUCAGUUGUGAAAGUUUGCGGCUCAACCGUAAAAUUGCAGUUGAAACUGGCAG
rnacentral:rRNA from 1 species